rnacentral:rRNA from 1 species
ACGCUGGCGGCGCACAUAAGACAUGCAAGUCGAACGAACUUAAUUGAGAGCUUGCUCUCAAAGCGGUUAGUGGCGGACUGGUGAGUAACACGUAAGCAACCUGCCUAUUAGAGGGGAAUAACAGCGAGAAAUCGUUGCUAAUACCGCAUAUGCUGUGAGUAUCGCAUGAUACAAGCAGGAAAGGAGCAAUCCGCUAAUAGAUGGGCUUGCGUCUGAUUAGUUAGUUGGUGGGGUAACGGCCUACCAAGACGAUGAUCAGUAGCCGGACUGAGAGGUUGAACGGCCACAUUGGGACUGAGAUACGGCCCAGACUCCUACGGGAGGCAGCAGUCGGGAAUAUUGCGCAAUGGAGGAAACUCUGACGCAGUGACGCCGCGUGCAGGAAGAAGGUUUUCGGAUUGUAAACUGCUUUUAACAGGAAAGAAAAAAUGACGGUACCUGUUGAAUAAGCUCCGGCUAACUACGUGCCAGCAGCCGCGGUAAUACGUAGGGAGCGAGCGUUAUCCGGAUUUAUUGGGUGUAAAGGGUGCGUAGACGGAAAUGCAAGUUAGUUGUGAAAUACCUCGGCUUAACUGAGAAACUGCAACUAGAACUAUAUUUCUUGAGUAUCGGAGGGGUUUGUGGAAUUCCUAGUGUAGCGGUGAAAUGCGUAGAUAUUAGGAAGAACACCGGUGGCGAAGGCGACAAACUGGACGAUAACUGACGUUGAGGCACGAAAGUGUGGGGAGCAAACAGGAUUAGAUACCCUGGUAGUCCACACCGUAAACGAUGGAUACUAGGUGUUGGCAAUGAAUAAUUGUCGGUGCCGGCGCUAACGCAAUAAGUAUCCCACCUGGGGAGUACGACCGCAAGGUUGAAACUCAAAGGAAUUGACGGGGGCCCGCACAAGCAGUGGAGUAUGUGGUUUAAUUCGAAGAUA